rnacentral:rRNA from 1 species
UACGGAAGGUCCAGGCGUUAUCCGGAUUUAUUGGGUUUAAAGGGAGCGUAGGCCGGAGAUUAAGCGUGUUGUGAAAUGUAGACGCUCAACGUCUGCACUGCAGCGCGAACUGGUUUCCUUGAGUACGCACAAAGUGGGCGGAAUUCGUGGUGUAGCGGUGAAAUGCUUAGAUAUCACGAAGAACUCCGAUUGCGAAGGCAGCUCACUGGAGCGCAACUGACGCUGAAGCUCGAAAGUGCGGGUAUCGAACAGG